CCUACGGGAGGCAGCAGUGGGGAAUUUUUGGACAAUGGGGGGCAACCCUGAUCCAGCCAUUCCGCGUGAGUGAAGAAGGCCUUCGGGUUGUAAAGCUCUUUCGCAAGGGAAGAAAACUUAUGAUCGAAUAAAUCAUGAGGUUGACGGUACCUUGAUAAGAAGCACCGGCUAACUACGUGCCAGCAGCCGCGGUAAUACGUAGGGUGCGAGCGUUAAUCGGAAUUACUGGGCGUAAAGCGUGCGCAGGCGGUUUUGUAAGUCGGAUGUGAAAUCCCCGGGCUCAACCUGGGAACUGCGUUCGAAACUGCAAGGCUAGAGUGUGUCAGAGGGGGGUUAGAAUUCCACGUGUAGCAGUGAAAUGCGUAGAGAUGUGGAGGAAUACCAAUGGCGAAGGCAGCCCCCUGGGAUAACACUGACGCUCAUGCACGAAAGCGUGGGGAGCAAACCAGGAUUAGAUACCCUGGUAGUCCACGCCCUAAACGAUGUCAACUAGUUGUUGGUAGAGUAAAAUCUAAUGAGUAACGUAGCUAACGCGUGAAGUUGACCGCCUGGGAGUACGGUGCAAGNUUAAAACGUCAAAGGAUUGACGGCUGAGACCCGNGCGACGCGACGACGAGGGAGGAGG
rnacentral:rRNA from 1 species